rnacentral:lncRNA from 1 species
UUUCCCCUCCUCUGAUCACAUCCUUCAAAGAGAGUAUUAUUUACCUCAGGUUUACUGGACAAAAUCAAUAAUGAUAACAAUGUACAUUUUUGUUUUCAUGAUACCUCAUAGCUACACAGUUUCUGUUUGGAAGGCCGCUACCAGGAGGCACAGAGCGAGGGCAGGCAGAAGCUGGGCACCCUCCUAGGUAGAAGGUAGAAGGGAUCUUUCCUGUCUCGAAGGUCACCAGGCUCCCCCUUUGACUCAGGCUCCCUGCUCAUGGUAAAAGAGCACGCUGAAGGAAGGGCUCCUCCGUACAAGGCAGAUGCUCAGCAAACACAGUGAACUAGCUAAGCCUGAUUUGCAUGCAGUCACCGGAAUCAGCAAUCAAGAAUUCGGGCAGACUGUUAGGAGACACACACACACACACACACACACACACACACACACACACACACACCCAUCAGAAACAGGACUUUCUUCUUUAUAGUGCCCCUUCACCAUGGAAGUUGACCAGUUUACUUCUUGACACUUAGGACACCCCAACUUAGGACAGUCUUCCUAGGACUGAGUCUGCAGCACACAUUUCUCACUCCUCCACCGUGGCAGGCAGGUGCUGAGAAAGGGACACGGCGUCUGUGGGUGGCGUUGAACGGCUUCAGGUUUUGAAUCCCAUUGAGUGGGCCAGAUAGAAAGCGCAGGUUGAAUGAGUUUGGGAUGCAUGUUGAAAGGGAGCGAGAGGCCGUUCCUCUGGUCUCGAGUGUAUUUAGAAAGGAUCAGGACUCGGUGUAAAAGUUAGCAUGACCCUAAAAUUCUAGGGAGUUUGUGGUGGAACCAUGGGUGAUGAAUCGGGAAGUAGGGUAGGGGGAAAGGAGAGAGGCCUGCAGCUAGCCAGCGUUGAUCCAGUGUGGCUGUUCUGCCUCCUCUUUGCUUAUGCAAGGGAAGGGAGCCUGGAUUCUUUGGUGGCCGAUACCCUCUGCUUAGAUUUGGAUCUCCUUGGUAGUAUUUUUGUCCCAGAGGGUAUAAAUAACCCUGGGGAUUUCAGCUUGCUCCCCCUUCACAUCCUACAAAAGGGAUUGCAGACUCUGGUCUUUUUCUGCCUUUGUUAAUGAGCUCUUGGUGGUUUUUUGUUUUGUUUUGUUUUUCAUUUUGUCUUGUUUUUCUUUUGUCAUCAUUGUUGUUUGUUCUUUCUCCAUCUGUGGGGGCUAAGUUGUUCCCCAAGCCUGCCAAAUUUUGGUCCUUCCCUGUUUUGACCAAAUCCUAAGGGGGAGAAAACCCUAGUAUGCCAAAAAAUAACAUGCUAAGCAUUAGGAGAUUCCUAACAGUCCCUUAAUUACCAGACAGCCUGUGAGAGGACAAAGGCUGACCAUCCACCUGUGCUGAGUAGCUAGCUCCUUCUAGAAGGGAUAGCGUUUAGAAGUUGCUUUGGUUUGAACUGUCCCCAGGAUGCCACAGAAGAGCAGGGCACAUCUUGGAGGCGGCUAGGGCAAGUUGUGUGCCUACCAAGAUAGACUCCCCUAGCAGCUAGACAGGCUGGGAGUAUAUGUAGCUGUCCUGGAUCCCCUUCUGUUGCUAGCAGGAUAAGUGACCACUCAGAGGGAGCUUAAUAGUUUUCUUAUAGUCUAGCUCUUUGGGGGACCUACCAUUCUGUGCCUUGAGAGCUGUAGGACCAACAGACUAAGAUUGGAUGGCUUUCACAAAGAGAGCAGAUGAGCUUUCUCUACGUGGGUGGGCUGUGGGGACAGGACUGGGAGGAUCACACUUGUACCUUAUGUCCUGUAAAUCCUGAUUUUCUAGUUCAAGAGGGUAUACCGGUGGUGCGGAAACUGGAGGUAGCAAUAAGAAGUCUUAAGUAAGCAGCUGACUUCUAAGCCCAAAGGGUUCCUCUUUGCUUAUCUUAGACAGUCAAACCUUGGGAAUAGCUUUAAAAGGGAAAUGAAUACCAAGUCAGUGAAGUCCCCGUAAGUCAACAAGGCCCGCCAUAGGUUCACAUUGCACACAAGCUUUUAUCGGUGCAGACUCUGGGUGGUUGUGAACAACUGCAGCUCACACAUCCAUUUGUACAAAAUCAGGUAGGAAGAUCCAGGAGGUGUUGGGACUUCCUUACCACAUGUGGCCUUUGAUGAUUCUAGAGUCUAAACAGAAGAGGCGCUUGAGCCAGAACCUGUGCCAUUCUGCUUUGAAACUUGCCUGGGCCAUCAGACCCAUGAUUGGCUCCAGCUUUAAGAAGCCAUCAACAAAUACACUUGAUGGAGCUGCAGACUUUGCCUGCAGCCCACUUGUGGGGGAGAAGUGCCUUACUGACCGUAGCCAUUACAGUAGCCACUCCAUUUCAACAGGUGCCUAUCUUUGACAAAAAACAAAACAAAACAAACAAACAAAAACACACACACACACACACACACAUUAAAAAGUUCUCUUAAGUUUCAUUGGCUGUCAUUCUUAGGCUGAUCAUCUUGUGUGUCCCCAGCAAGUCACCAGGCCAUUGAAUUGUCUCCAUUAUUAUCCUUCUGCCAUGUACCUCAGAUCUAUCAGUUUCGAUCUCUUGUCUUGGAUUAUUUUCUUUCUUUCUUUUUUUUCUUUUUUAAUUUGCUUUAAGAGUGUGAUACCAUAUGAAAUCAAUGUUAUUCUCUCACAGUGUACUCUAUAACAGGUGUGGGUGGUUUUUAUGGUUGGGAUACUAGAAAAUGCUAAAGUAGCAUGAUCAGUAUGAACAAAAAUAAAAACAAAAAAAAAAGGUCUUUAGGAAAUCCG